UAAUUAAGUACAAAGUUGUAACGGAUUUCUCGCAAAAAGAUUCUGGAGGACGACUGUUUUCUGAAUGAUUGAUGCUUGAUUACCAUGAGUGCUCUGUCUUUCAUCUCUCUAAUUUCCUCUAAAUCUCUCUCUCUCCCUCUACCUUAUCUCCUUAUCUUUGUUCAUUCUCUUCCUGUGCAUUGCAAUUAUUAAACCAUCUGAUGGUUUUUGGUACUUAGCUGUUGCUUAGGCGAUAUUAUUUCGCCCCUGAGUUGUUAAUCUUGGGUGUUCACUAUUAAAAAAGGCUGGUUUGGAAAUUGACUACAUGAUCUAUUAGUUAUUUUCAAUUCAUCUUUAUGUCGGCUGUAUAAAUAUGAGUACUUGAGAAAUUUUAUUUAUAUGGAAUUGAAGUUCACAGGCCAGGAAUGAGAAUAUAUAAAGAGAGCUUUCUUGGUCGUGAUAUCUGAGAACCUUAUCUGUGAAAUGAUGAGAUGUUACUCAACUUUGCAGGAAUAUAUAUGGCCAUAGGGUUAGGCUAGCAACUCAUGCAAAUUUCAAAGAUUUUGUCCUUACUGCUGGGUUGGAGUUCUUUCCUUUAGGUGGAGAUCCAAAAGUUCUUGCCGAAUGGCACUCUCAUGUUGCUGAGGCACUAAAAAUACCGUUUCAUAUAUUUUUCACAAUGCCAUGGACGCCUACCAGUGAAUUCCCUCAUCCUCUAUCCCGUGUCAAGCAACAUAUUGGAUAUAGACUAUCAUAUCAAAUAGUUGAUGCAUUAAUUUGGCUAGGAAUUCGAGACAUGAUAAAUGAGUUUAGGAAGAAAAUGCUGAAGCUGAGACGUACCACAUAUUUAAGUGGAUACUAUAGUACUCCUCCUGACGUUCCCUAUGGGUAUAGAUGGAGUCCUCAUCUUGUUCCCAAACCUAAAGGGUAGAUAUAUACCACCUUGACCAACUAAGAAGACCCUCAGUUAGAGGGAGGAUGGAAGUAUUACUAGACUUGAACAUACAUAUACAAUGCAAGAAACAGGAUAGAAAACGACUGUAGUUGCUGAUGCAAAGAAUAAGCAAAGCCGGAGUUCACUCCAUUGGAAAAAUUUGGCUGGCAUUCCUGCCCAACCUAGCAACAAGGAGUGCGGGUACUUUAUCAUGCGAUACAUGAGAGAUAUCAUUGAGGAUAAAGACAUGUCAUUGUUUCCUUCCAAGUGGGAGAGGAGAGGCAGCAGCCAAUACACCUAAGUGGAUAUUGAUCAAGUGCGGAAUGAGUGGGGGAAGUUUGUUGUCAACACAUAUGUGCACGAGUCAUGAAGUAGCGCACUUGUUGCUGGUAUAUUUUAGAUAAGGAAAACAUCUUUUUUGUGCUUCUCUACUGGUACAUUGUCAUGCACCAUGUGUGGCAUGUUUUGGAACAAUAUAUAUGUGUAUCAGCUUUUUGAUAUCCCAAGUAGAUGGACAUGCACUACAAUGCUUGAAGUUUAAAGUAUUGGUUAUAUGA